rnacentral:rRNA from 1 species
GAUGAACGCUGGCGGCGUGCCUAACACAUGCAAGUCGAACGAUGAAGCCCAGCUUGCUGGGUGGAUUAAUGGCGAACGGGUGAGUAACACGUGAGUAACCUGCCCUUAACUCUGGGAUAAGCCUGGGAAACUGGGUCUAAUACCGGAUAGGAGCGUCCACCGCAUGGUGGGUGUUGGAAAGAUUUAUCGGUUUUGGAUGGACUCGCGGCCUAUCAGCUUGUUGGUGAGGUAAUGGCUCACCAAGGCGACGACGGGUAGCCGGCCUGAGAGGGUGACCGGCCACACUGGGACUGAGACACGGCCCAGACUCCUACGGGAGGCAGCAGUGGGGAAUAUUGCACAAUGGGCGCAAGCCUGAUGCAGCGACGCCGCGUGAGGGAUGACGGCCUUCGGGUUGUAAACCUCUUUCAGUAGGGAAGAAGCGAAAGUGACGGUACCUGCAGAAGAAGCACCGGCUAACUACGUG